GGUUUGAUUCUGACCAUGAUUGAACGCUGGCGGGAUGCUUUACACACAAGUCGAACGGAACACGCACGGACUUCGUUCUGGUGGCGAGUGGCGAACGGGUGAGUAAUGUAUCGGAACGUGCCUAGUAGCGGGGGGAUAACUACGCGAAAGGUAGCUAAUACUGCAUAAUACCCUUCGGGGAAAGCGGGGACCUUCGGGCCUCGCACUAUUAGAGCGGCCGAUAUCGGAUUAGCUAGUUGGUGGGGUAACGGCUCACCAAGGCGACGAUCCGUAGCCGGUCGACGACGACCAGCCAACUGGACUGAGACACGGCCCAGACUCCUACGGGAGGCAGCAGUGGGGAAUUUUGGACAAUGGGGGAAACCCUGAUCCAGCCAUCCCGCGUGUGCGAUGAAGGCCUUCGGGUUGUAAAGCACUUUUGAACAGGAAAGAAACGGCACGGAUAAUACCCCGUGCAACUGACGGUACCUGCAGAAUAAGCACCGGCUAACUACGUGCCAGCAGCUGCGGUAAUACGGUGGGUGCAAGCGUUAAUCGGAAUUACUGGGCGUAAAGCGUAUACGCAGGCGGUUCGAAAUAUUAAGAUGUGAAAUCCCAGAGUUUAACUUUGAAAUCCGCAUUUUUAAUCACCGAGUUGAGUGUGUCAGAGGGAGGUGGAAUUCGCGUAGCAGGACAAACUGCGUGAUGAUAUGCGGAGGAACACCGAUGGCGAAGGCAGCCUCCGGAUAACACUGACGCUCAGUGCACGAAAGCGUGGGGAGCAAACAGGAUUAGAUACUCCUGGUAAACCACGCCCGGCGCCCGGAUCAUCCAGCUGUUGGGGCCUUCGGGCUCGGCAGCGCAGCUAACGCGUGAAGUUGACCGCCUGGGAGUACGGUCAAGAAAACCGGCGAAUUGACGGGACCCGCACAAGCGGUGGAUGAUGUGGAUUAAUUCGAUGCAACGCGAAAACCUUACCUACCCUGAUACGUUCAACCGAAGAGAUCUGGGAGUGCUCGCGAGAACCGGAACACAGGUGCUGCAUGGCUGUCGUCAGCUCGUGUCGUGAGAUCGUUGGGUUAAGUCCUGCAACGAGCGCAAUCCUGUCAUUAGUUGCCCGAAAGGGCACUUAUCGAGACCGCCGGGCGACAAAACGGAGGAAGGUGGGAUACGUCAAGUCCUCAUGGCUCCCAGGAAGGCUUCACACGUCAUACAAUGGUCGGGACAGAGGGUCGCCAACCCGCGAGGGGGAGCCAUCCCGAAACUGGAUCGUAGUCCGGAUCGCAGUCUGCAACUCGACUGCGUGAAGUCGGAAUCGCUAGUAAUCGCGGAUCAGCAUGUCGCGGUGAAUACGUUCGGGUCUUACACCGCCCGUCACACCAUGGGAGUGGGUUUUACCAGAAGUAGUUAGCCUAACCGUAAGGAGGGCGAUUAGCCACGGUAGGAUUCAUGAUCAACAACACGAACGAAGGUAA
rnacentral:rRNA from 1 species